GGCUGUCAGUGGCAGGCAACAUGUGUUCCAGUUCCACUCCGGUUGAAGUUUUCUCAACUUUGUUUGCAGGAUGGCCAAAUUUCGAAAAGAUAAGAGCACCACAUCUCCCAUGUUCUUCAAGCACUGUGGUUUCUCCUUAGACCAGGACAAUCUUCCCUGAGUGACACCAGGAGCUUCACCAUAGGAGACCCCAAAAGGGAGUUGUGCCUUAAAGUCAUGCCUUGUAAGAUAUCAUCACAAAGCUGACCUUGUUGGGGGAAGGCUCUGGGUGACGCUGAGGACACAUUGUUGACGGAUCAUGACCUCUGACAUCCUCAGGCACCGCAAAGAUGCUGCUCUUCGAGGACUUCCAGUAUUUCUCUGUGAGGACCCCAAGGAACUUUUCAAAGAGUGCCUUGAGGCCGAUGCAGAUGGUGUGGCUCUCCAGGGUGUGGCUGUGGGCAUUCUAUAUGUUCGUGAAGACUGUGGUCCAGGUACAUCUAAGCGAGUGCAAAACAUUGCCGUCAUCCUCGAGGAGAGUUGUUUUGCAAGAUAUCCCAGAUACCCCAACUGCUCUGGCAUACCUUUUUGGCAUACCUUACCUUUUUUUCCUUUAUGCCCUGAAUAUCUCCUACCCAAAGGCUCUGAAGUAUACCUUCGAUACUUUGCAAAAUGUCUUCAUGGAGAUUUGUCUCAAAUGUACACGGCGUGUACAAUCUCUGAAAAACAAACUGGCACUGUAAGACUGACGGCGAGGCUGCAAUGUCAAGUUCCCAUGACUGCCUAUGUUCUCACAAUGUUGGAGUAUGGCUAUAUUUCUGAGGGAAAAAAUGUGGAUGACAUUUGAACUUAGCUUAUACUGUAAGACUGAAGACGAGGCUGUAUUUUGAAAUGUGUGGCGGUUACAUCAAGUUCCUUUGAUGGCCUAUGCUCCCACGGUGUUGGAGUAUGACUACCUUGUAUUUCUGAGGGGAAAAUGGGGAAGACAUUUUAACAAACUUGCACUUGAAGAGUGAAUACAAGGUUGUAUUUUGAGAUGCAUACUGGUUACGUCAAGUUCCCCUUGAUGACCCAUCUUCUCACAGUGUGGAGUAUCGCUGAGUUUUACCUCCUUACUUGGGCUAUACUAGCCUGGUUCUCACCGAUGGUGCGGGUGUGUACACAAACCAGCAUCUGGUAGCGUUGCCAUUAACAUGCUCUUCUGGAGUCGAAAAUAAAUGGUGCAUUUAUUGCAAUUCACCAACAUAUUUCAACUCGCCACCAACAAAUUCCUCCAAAAAUGUUUUCGGUUAAUCUCUAGAGUCAAUGUGAGCAGCCGUUGAUCUUUAAGCAACAAGUGCUCCGUUUAUUCUCUACUCGAGAAGAGUGUGUUAAGGGCAGCGCUAUGAGACGGAUGUGUGUGUAGCUCCACUCCACCGGGGUGCUCCGGAGCUACACUUGCGCACCGUCGGUGAGAGGCAGGCUAGGGGUAUACUGGCCUUCAAAGGCAAAGUGCAGUAAUUGAGUUCAAACUGAGAAGGGUGUUCAUUACACCACCUUUUAUGUUGAAAAAAAGACCAGCGGUCCAAAUGUGUCCCGUUUUCAGAGAUUUUGCCAUGUCAAAUUUGAAGUAACUACAACAUCCAGUCUUAUGGGCCGUACACACACGUCGCUGCUAUUUACUCGCUACUUGCUCACUCGCCUACUUGCCACUCGCUCUGGGUGAUUUUGUUUACUGGUUGUCAUGGUUCCCGCUGUCCGCGCCAAUAACGUCCGUACAAAACAAAAUGUAGGCCUACGCUGUUUAACGUUGAUCGUGUGCUGUGCACAACCAUGCAUAUGAGCCUUUGAUGGUGUACACUGUAUGUAUUUUCCUCAACACUUUUAACCAAAGCGUGAUGGCGUGCAGAAGUUGGGUGGUCAGAACACCACAGGGGCAACGUCACCUGUCAAUAAUUUGUAUUCUGCAUUCCAAUUGGUUACUCGCUUAACUCGCGUCGCUCGAAGAUAAAAUAAGUUUAUCUCGGAACCCGCCCACAUCGCAUCGCUUGUACUCUCCUCGCCUACUCGCCAGCGAGACUCGCUGGAACACGUAGACAUUCUAUUGACUUCAUCCGCUGAGCGAGUAACUAGCAGCGACGUGUGUGUACGGCCCUUUAGGCCUUUUUCUCAGUUUGAAUGUUAAUGUAAUUACUGCACUUUCCCUUUGUAUGGCGGUAUAGCAAUUUCCCAUCAUUAUCUUUUCUUUUACAUUAUGUUUUAUUUACCAGACAUGUUAAACCUUAUGUUACUUAGGUGCAGGGCCAUGUUCUGAAUUGGCAAAUGUGUAUUUAGGCUGUGUAUGGGUCAAUCAGUGUCUCAAACUUGUAGCUUGUGUUUCAGAACUAGUAGAGAGCAAGUAGAUAUGAAUGGCAUGACACCCCAAUUACAACUGCACUUAAUAUUGCAGCUUGGUCUGUGAAACCAAAUUUAAGUUCUGAAGGGCCAAAUUUUGUUUAAAGACACUAAACCCCA